AUAGUAAUGUUUCUAUAUAAAACUAAGAGAUUAAUGCCAAAGGAAAGAAGAGUCCUGCUGGCACAUUAUUCAUUACUUGUCUAAUUUAUAUUAAAUGUACUAAUGGUACAGUGAAAAGAGACCUUUUUUUAAACAAGUAUCUCUUUGAUUUUCCAUUUCAUGUGAAAAAAACAGAGCAUUAUUCCAUAGGAAAAAAAAAAUUUAAGUGAAAGCUUUAAAUAUUUUAAAGUAUUUAUCAAACAGUAAAGUAACUCUUAGAAACACAUCAGGUAUAAAAUAUGAAUUAAUUAAUUCAUAACCAUAAUUAGUAUAUGAAAUUCAAAAGGGUUAAUUCAUUAAUGCUACACUGAUGCCGAGUAUGGUGAGUGAACCAAGCAUUUCAGUUUUGAUCAACAAUGAAUCAGUUUAAAAACAUAUAAGCUAUAACUGCUAAAAAAGUGACAAAAUAAAACGAUGCCUAAAAAUUAUUGGAACACCUGCUUUAAGUGAAGCAAUUCUUACUGAAAUUAAAAAUAUUUAUUUCACUUUAAACACUUCAAUUUUUACAUAAAGCUAGGAGUGAAAAAUUUUAUUGUAAAAUUUAAAACUCCUAAAAUGACUAGAGAAAUUAGAAUGACACUCAAAAACUUGGCGGGGGGCGGUGGGGAGGGGACCCUGUAAUUCGUGUUUGAGUUUGUCUAAGUCUUGAUUCUGUGAAAACACUUCGCAAAAAUUAUCUUUCUUUUCUUGACAAUACACCAGAUCCUGACUUCACCACCUUGACAAUACACCAGAUUCAGCCCUCACUCCCCCAACGCACCUCAGCAUGGAAGCGAUACACACCGGGUACAGAAGGUUGAAAAGCACACACUCUUCUCCUUUUAAUGCGCGCUCUGAUGAAUGGCACACACACAAGCCAUAUUGCCCAUCUCUCAGAGUGGCCUUCGCUGCCAGCACAGCUGAAAUCUGGAGGCUGGCUGCAUUCACAUUGUCAGCUUAAAUACCCAGUAAGGACUCAAACUGGGAAUAAGACAAAGUACCAGCGCAUGUUGAUCCACUUCACUGGCCCCACCAAUUAGCUGUGAAGAAUAUGGCUCAUUUAGAAGUGUAUAUGAUAAUACUGAAGCAUAACUGAAAAUUAGAUAUAUAAAAAAGGAGGUCAUUAGCUUGGACUUGUCUUAUCUUCAGCUAAAUGAAUCGCAGAUAAAAUCAAAUAGGGUAAGUUUAAGUUGUCUUAAGCUUUGGAGCCCUUUCUUAUGUACUUACAUUAGAUGCAUCUCUAUAAAGAAAGUUUAUAGCAUUGCUAUUUACAACACCACAGUUAAUGUUGUGUUACAGUUUUCAUUACCAACCUCUAUUUUCAGAGGUGCAUAGCCUUAAACAUAAAAAUGUGUUCUAGGUUAAAAAGAAAAGUGGUGUAGUAGAUUACAACCAGAAAAUCAACCUAAAGACAAUAUCUAUGCAAUUUUCAAAGUAGUGGAAUCCCAAGAUAGCACACAAUUACAUUGGCACCUGCUAUGUGUUAAUGAAUUCUUAUAGAUUAAAAAUAUAAUCUUCUAAUGGAAAAUUAAAUGUAAUUUAUCUGAAAUAUAUACUCAAGAGACAUGUUUGUUUGUGAGCAAGAAAUUUAAAUGUGACUCAUUAUUGACGGAAUUUAGCCAAAUAAAGAAAAUUAUGAAGUAUGUGCAGUUGUGUAAAUUCAUAAUUAUAAGUUACCUGCAGUUCAUAGAUUAUGUACUUAUCAUAAAAACAUUAUUAGAACAUAAAGAUGUAAAAUAUAGUGUCUUUGUCCCAUAGAAAAAAUUCUUAUUAUCAAUUAGAGAAUGCAAAAUGUUUCAGUCAGAAGAUAGGGGCCCAUAGCAGAGUUGUGAUGGUAUUGCAACAAACACACUGCUUGGAUGGGUUGAUAGCUUGGCAGCAAUUGUUUUUGGCUUGUUUGACUAUUCACUUUUCAAUUCUUAGCACUGAAGUUGUCAGGAGCACACCUGACAACACUUACGUGGAAUAAAACACCUAGAGAUAGGUGACUCCCAACCUAUCAGUUGGGGACACAGGAUCCAGAAGGUCAAAUCUGGGAGACUCCUCUCAACAUCUGUCUAUCCCAGUUAUAGACAUUAUAACUAUAACUGGCCCCAUUACAUCCAGAACCCUAAUGUCCCUGAAGGAUGAUAGGGGAAGGGAAAUAUGGCAUCUAGUCUUUAAAGUACACCUCUUGGUGGCAAGUCCUGCCUCAGGGGGACAACGUGGGCAUGAAAAAAUAUCCCACACUGGUAGUCUGUCUCAUGAAACUCCAGGGAGAAUGUUAAAUCUUGAAAGUCAUGAACAUUUCUGGGUCCAGUCAAGAAAAUUGAUUUGCAACCUGGGCUGGGCUACUUUAGGAUGAUCAUAGAAGAGCGUCUAAGACAGAGUGUCUAGGAAGACUAUGGAACAAACCUGAGCUUUGAACUCAGGCACCCAGUGGGAUUUUUGGCUUCUCCAUUGAGCCUCUACUUGACUUCUCUAGAGUCUGGUUUCUCUAAGUGGGAAAAUGAUAUUUACCUUGCCCAGUGAUUUGGGGGACUGAAUGAGAUUUUAUAUACAUACAACAUACUAAGAUAGAAAUGAAGGUGAUUCAUAUUAUAUAUUAUAUUAAUAUUAUACUUACCAUCAAUACAAUUGGUGACUGGUAGUAAGCCUCCAUGUUUCCCUUGGGUUGUCUUCAAAGUCCCUAUCUCUGACUCCCCUGAAUGCUCACUAUGUGGGAUUUUCAAGAUUGCUAGGCAGCAAAAUCAAGACAAGCCAGGGGUGAACAUCACCUCGUUCUCUCUAAGGGUUUCAUUUAUCAGUUCAGCAGGCAAGAGUAUCAGAGAUUUGAUUUUGAAUUGGUAGGAAAAAAAUGGGAAAUGUUUAACAAUUUUGUCAUGCUUUGGGUUGAGUUCCAACAUUUUUUUUUGACUUGUGUUGACAUUUAACCAUUUAAGUGAUCAUUUAAAAAUAACUGUGGGUUUUGACCAUCAUGUUAUAUAAUAGUUUAAAGUCGAUUUGACACAAAUUUACCUGUAAAUGGGCAGAAAGCAUUGGCUUGACACUUGUUCUGUUUGUUUCUCUAGGGUUUUAUAGAGAUACAUAUUAUGACAGACUUAAAACAAAUUGCAGGAUUUAGUGUUCUCAUUCCUCAGGUUGAGUACACACAGUAGAUAGUGUUGGAGCCACCAAAUUUCACAGAACAGUAAAUUUGUUAUAAGGAACUAUUGCCAAAUCCCAAAGGUAAUGAUAGUUGCCUCAUCAGAAAGCCGGCCAAUCUUCCUCUCCAGCAUCCUGUACAAGACAGAGAUCACCCUGCAGCUAUGCCUUCUUUCUGUAGCUGCUGUUAGCUAGAUCAAGGACCUCAAAGCCUUGCAGUAAUAUCCGCUGUAAGAACUCUGCCAGACCCAGUCAGUGGCAAGUGAACAGAGGGGACCCUUACUGCAAACUGACUGGUGCUGAGAAGCCCCGUUGUUCAUCUACAGACAAUAGCAUUGCGAUUCUGAAAAUGCCCCUUGCUACUCCCCAAGGCAGCCUCUGGCCCAAAACCUGUCUUCUCAUUGGACAAUAUCGAGUUUUAGGACUUCACUGCGUCCAGAAGAAUCAUAACUAUCCACUUCAGGUUUCCUCUCUUUAGACAAACCUCUCUUUGGCAGUGGCAGAGGCAAGCUAUGACAUUUAGAACGGAUAAGCAAUGAGGUCCUAAUGUGCAGCACAGGGAACUAUAUCCAGUCUCUUGGGAUAGACCAUGAUGGAAAAUAAUAUGAAAAAGUAUAUAUAUAUAUAUAUAUAUGUACACACACACACACAUAUACAUAUAUAUAAAUAUGACUGGGUCACUUUGCUGUACAGGAGAAAUUGGCAUAUCAUUGUAAACCGACUAUACUUUAAUUUUUAAAAAAGUUUAAAAGGUUUAAAACAAAAAAAAAGAAAGCUCCAGACUUAGCUACUUAAAAAAUAGCCAGAGAAGUCAGUGUGGGCUUUAAAAAAUACCAGUGUAUGUGUGCCUCUGUGUAAGUGCACAUACUCACACACACAGAAUGAAUAAAUUCAGAUAAAGAUGAGACUAAACAGUUUAAAUUACAAUCAUGUGGAGUUUUUUUGUUUGUUUGUUUUUGUUUUUUUUUUACUUUUGGUAAUUUAUUUAUAGUCAUAUUCUUAGUUCAGAAACUCUAACAUUUGAUCUGGGCUCUGUUUAAAUCAUCUGGAAGGCUCACUGUUUAUUUUUAAAAGUGAUAUAAAAUACUUAACUACACAAAUAGAAUAGUAGGACAAUCUAAUAACAUAUAUAUGUGUACUUGGAUGUGUGUAUAUAAUUAGAAAUUCCAGGUAUAGGAAGCUAGAAUCUGUUAAGAUUCCCCAAAUAGCUAAUUUUACCUUUUCUCAAUUCUGAUAUUAAGCAAAGUUCAUAGAAAAUUUUAUUUUCAGCUAAUCAUCGUAUACAUGUAUAAUUAUUGUCGACCUGUAAAGUAUCCAUCAGGAUACGCUUCUGGUUCAAUAAUGGCAUUUGUAGUAUGUCCACAUCCACUGAUCUAGGAUUCAAUGAAAUUCUUUAUCCUAAUUUGCUUAUUUGUAUGGUAGUAUGCUUGCACCAAGUUAAGAUUAUAAUUUAUAUUCAGAUAACCUAUUUUUUGUUUGCAGUUUGAUGAGGGGAGAUUUUUUAUGUAUACCUGGGGAUGACUCAGUAUCACCAGAUGGUGGUUUGCCAUCCACAGGUUCCACUUUGCCUGUUUUGCAAGUUUGUGACAGCCCACAGGGACAUGCUGAGGCAUCCAUCUAGUCAAUAAUGUAUCUGGGACAACUUUAAUGCAGCAAACAUCUUUAUGAGUUUAAAUGUCAUCUGUUUGUCCUCCUCCAAUAAAAUUGGUCAGUACAAUAAGGCAUGGCCUUCCAUUCAGGAAGAAAGCACUGUGUUAACUGCUCUGAUCUGGGCAAGCGAACAAAAUUAAUUACAGUCACUUUUAACUGAGUCUUCAAAUGGGACUACAGAACUCUUACUUUUAAAAUUCUGAUUCUUAUCAGGAGUCCAGAAAAUCAUUUCAGUAGGAACACUUUGCAUAUUGGUAAGAAUUACAAUGACAACAAGGAUGGUUAAUAUUAGCCAUUAUAACCUCUGUCAUUAUUACCAGUCAUGCUAUUUUUAAAAACAAGAAUCGCUAAUGUGAUAUAUGUGGUGCAGAACUUUUACCCUUUGAUUAGUCUCUAGAGUCUUGUGCUAUGGAGCAAAUAAUUUUCCAUCUGCCUUCAGAUUUUUCAAGUAUCAUGCUCUCUGAUGACUUGAAAUUGUCAAGGCGUUCCUCCGCCUCCCAUCUUUCAAAAAAGUGUAAUUUUUACAUUUCACAUAUAAAACAAACUUGCUAUUUAACCUAUUGUUAUAUUUAAAUUACUUGUUAAGGUCUUGUGAGCUAAUUUUGAUCUUAUCUGUAAGCUUCAUUCUUUAAAAUGCCUUCCAAGGCUUUAUGGUUUAGGAAUUCCAUUAUAGUCUUUC
rnacentral:lncRNA from 1 species